UACGUAGGGGGGCAAGCGUUGUCCGGAUUUAUUGGGCGUAAAGAGCGUGUAGGCGGCUAGAUAGGUCCGUUGUGAAAACUGGAGGCUCAACCUCCAGCUGUCGAUGGAAACCAUCUGGCUAGAGUCCGGAAGAGGCGAGUGGAAUUCCUGGUGUAGCGGUGAAAUGCGCAGAUAUCAGGAGGAACACCUAUUGCGAAGGCAGCUCGCUGGGACGUAACUGACGCUGAGACGCGAAAGCGUGGGGAGCAAACAGG
rnacentral:rRNA from 1 species